rnacentral:lncRNA from 1 species
GUAAUUUUCUGAUAAAAAUAAUAAUAGCCAGUGUGUGCCACAAAUUAUGAAUACCAAGUAGCUAGGGUCAGUCUCAUGUUUUAUAUGCUUGCUUAAAGGUCAAAAAGAAAAAUAACUGUCAGCUUAGCUGAAAAGAACUUCUAGAUGAAAACAUAACUAUGACUUUACAGGCUCCUUAACACUGAGUAGUAGGAUGGUGCCAAACUUUCUUGCAAUGAUUCAGUCAGUAGCACUUCAUUGUGGAAGUGACUGGCUCUUUAAAAUUUUAUUUUAAGUUCCAGGGUACAGUGCAGUGUGCGCAGGUUUGUUGCAUAGGUAAACAUGUGCCAUGCUGCUUUCCUGCACCUAUCAACCCAUCACCUAGGUAUGAAGCCCAGCAUGCAUUAGCUACUUAUGCUGAUGCUCUCCCUCCUCCUGCACCUCCCAACAGGCCCCAGUAUCUGUUGUUCCCCUCCAGUGUCUACAUAUUCAAAUGAAACCCAAUAAAUCAUUCGUACUAGUUCUUGUUCAGUCUUGAAAUUAAAAUAGUUUUUUUCAUAUUUUUUGUUUGUAAUUUUUUAAAUAAUAAGAAUGUUUUACUCUUGAUGCAAAAAAGAAAUUCUGAAAACGUAGCCUUAAAUAUUCUUUAAACUCUAGAAUAUGUACUCUUAAGUGUGAAAAGUAGAAAAAAAUAAACAUAUGAGAAAAGAUUUAAAAGGAAUACUACAAUUUAAGUAGUAAUUGACCUAUCUUCAAAGUCAAGCUCUAUACAUCAAAUGUAUACAGCUUUUGCAUAUCAAUCAUUCCUCAACAAAAGGGCUUAAAAAAGACAUUUCAUAAAAAUAAGCAAAAGUAUGUAAAUAAUGAUUGGAUUAGGAUGGCAAGAUUCUAGAUGACUUCUUAAUUUCUCAAUUUCCUUUAACAUCGUUAUACUUUUUUUUUUCUUUUUUGAGACAGAGUCUAGCUCUGUCACUGAGGCUGCCGUGCAGUGGCAUGAUCUCAGCUCACUGCAACCUCCACCUCCUGUGUUCAAGCAAUUCUCCUACCUCAGCCU